AGAACAAAGUUCUUCCGCCGGGGGCCAAGCACCAGGGUUACAUGCAGAUUUUGAGAUGUGCUUUGAUUAUGGCAAAAAUUGUGAAGUUUGUUGGUCAAUAAAAUUUAUUGUGAAGCAUUUGAAAUGUUUGAUGGAAAAAGGGUUAAAGUCAGAAGUUGUCAUGACUUGGGUUGAAAUGGAAUGUUUGACAAUGAAACCAUUUGAUCAAAAAUGUGUUUUUUUUUUUU